rnacentral:rRNA from 1 species
GACGAACGCUGGCGGCGUGCUUAACACAUGCAAGUCGAGCGGAAAGGCUCCUUCGGGGGUACUCGAGCGGCGAACGGGUGAGUAACACGUGAGUAAUCUGCCCUGGACUCUGGGAUAGCCACCGGAAACGGUGAUUAAUACCGGAUAUGACCAGCUUCCGCAUGGGGGUGGGUGGAAAGGUUUUUCGGUCCAGGAUGUGCUCGCGGCCUAUCAGCUUGUUGGUGAGGUAAUGGUUCACCAAGGCUUUGACGGGUAGCCGGCCUGAGAGGGUGACCGGUCACACUGGGACUGAGACACGGCCCAGACUCCUACGGGAGGCAGCAGUGGGGAAUAUUGGACAAUGGGCGGAAGCCUGAUCCAGCAACGCCGCGUGAGGGAUGACGGCCUUCGGGUUGUAAACCUCUUUCAGUACCGACGAAGCGAAAGUGACGGUAGGUACAGAAGAAGGACCGGCCAACUACGUGCCAGCCGCCGCAGUAACAC